rnacentral:tRNA from 1 species
CGAAUCGGUAGACGCUACGGACUUAAAAUCCGUCGAUUUUUAAAAUGUGAGGGUUCAAGUCCCUCUAUCCCCA